AAACUUUCAACAACGGAUCUCUUGGCUCUGGCAUCGAUGAAGAACGCAGCGAAAUGCGAUAAGUAAUGUGAAUUGCAGAAUUCAGUGAAUCAUCGAAUCUUUGAACGCACAUUGCGCCCCUUGGUAUUCCGAGGGGCAUGCCUAUUCGAGCGUCAU
rnacentral:rRNA from 1 species